ACGACCCGAUCCCGGUUUUGGAGUUUGUUAGCCAGCUAAGUCAUAUGCAUUUACCUGUAAGACAAUUAUUUGCCUAUAAAUACCUACCUCUACAUUGAUUUCUCCUUUUGCAACAAGAAAAUAAAACUCAGAAGUUAGAGAGAAGAAGAAAUGAGAGAGAGAGAGAGAGAGAGAGUGAGAGAAAGAAAGAUAAAAACCAAUGCAUGUUGCCACCAGAGAUCGCCGGAACCACCACACGCCAGCACAUCGCCAAGCUCGUCAUCACCAUCAACCGCAGCUUAGAAUCGCCGGAAACCGCCGCCUCUUAAGCUUUGUUUUCGUCCGUUCAGUAAAUCAGCUAUAUCUCCAUAACCGUUGAGAAUCUCUCGCAUGCAAGACCAUCAUCGUGUUCCUCUCGUCGAGACGAAGCCGUAGACACCGACCACGCCGCAAUCGGAGUUCAGACGAAGCCGUACGCGCCUCCAAAAGUUACGCCGACUGCGCGCGUUUCUUCCACGCGCCGCCGCCGGAUAUCGCCUCCGCCGUCUUCCGCCACCGUCCUCCGCCGCAUCUCCGCCGCUGCCAGAAGUCGCCUCCGCCGCAGCUCCGCCGCCGCCGGGAAUCGCCUCCGCCGUCGCCGCCAACAAACUUUCCGAUAUGGAGUCUAUUUGAGCAGCUGGAGUUCAUAAACACUAUUUUUCUAUUGCUAAGGUGAGACAAAUAAGUAUGUGAUAUUUGGACGGACUUGGUGCUACUGGACUUUUCUUUCGGAUUUUAUUUGGGCUUGGGUGAGCGUUAUUGGGUUUAUGGGCUUUUAUAUUAUGGGAUAUUGUUGGUGGCCCGUCGUCCUUAGUGAGAAGGAGACGGAUGUCACAUUGUUGUAUGAUGACGCGUCGGUGGUGACACGCUGUCCUCCAGAUAGGAGGUGACGGGUGUCGCAAUUUUGGUAUCAGAGCGGGGUUCCAUCCCGGUUCCGUCCGGGAUGGCGGUCAGGGGAUUCGGUUUUCAUCGGUUUUCAACGUU